UUUCUUCCUGCAAAUGGGAAAAUGCAGGAGAUUGGGGAAAGCCUGGCAACUGCUAGAGUGUUCUGCCUCUACAAUCUCCAGGUCCCACUGGUUGCAUGACCACUUUAACAUAGGCAAAAUAAUCCACACAGUAAAAGACGUGACACUGGAAGAAGGAGCCAUGGAAAAUGGAGCACCUCACUACCCCAGGGAAUUCCAGAGCACGUACUACACAAAUACUCCGCCUCUUAUAUGAUUACAGAGCUGUAGAUCCAAGAGACCUGGGAUGCAAAGCUUCUCAGUGCUACCAGUGGUUUUAUUUCUAAAAGACUGCCCUGACUGAUUUCUGAAGCCUAAUGAGGAGCAAGACAGCAAGCUGAAAACUACCUUAAGUGGGCAACAACACUAACAAGAACAAAGAGAGGAUCAUAAACCGUGCAAUACUCAGAGAAGCAACAGCUCCACUCUAAUGACUCAGAAAGCGAAAAGGAUCUGAUGGACAACUGGGUUCAUUUCAUCUCUGCUUAGUUUGAGGAUCAACGGGAGGAGACAACCACAGAGGUAAUGCUGCCUUUGGUCAUGUCUGAGUGAAUGUACUUUCCCAAGCUGACGUUGCUCAUGAGGUGGCCACCACUCCUCCGAGAUAAAUGUGUGGCUGUGCGGGUGCGUGGCUGCAAGCAGAGGCCGCCCCAGGACAGCAGGCAGGGCAUGCUGGGCCCCAGUGGGCACUGCAGGACAGGAGGCCGCAGUGCAAUACACCAAAGCUGAAAGCACUGCAACAAUCAAAUACCCCAUUCCGGUAUUUAUUGCUGCUUUUAAAAUCCAAGUACUCAGACUGCGCAGGUAAAACAACCAGAAAUAGCAGCACGUUAAUUAAUAUGCUUAAAUAAAUAAUGACAAGCAUCUCUUUAAACUAGAGCAGCUUCAAAGCACAGCUGAGGAGAAUCUCUCCCUUCAGGGAAACGAUCCUCCAUGCAAGGGAUACACGGGCUGAAACCUCAUGUGUUACCUCAGAGGCAGCGAGCUUCUCGCCUCUUUUUUAAAGCAGCAAGUCCUUGCUCAAUCACUGUCUCGUUGCUGUUUGUGCAUUUAGGACAGCAAAUCAUUCUUUCUUUCACACUGGAUGAUUAGAAAGCGUUGCCCGGAAGGGAACUAAUGAAAUCUGCUUCCUUCUGAUAGUUAAAAAGAGAGAGAGAGGAAAAAAGAAUUCACCAUUAGGGUAGUAAAGCAGACAGGGAGGGCUCUCACCGCCUGGCAGCGCCCAGGGCAGCCCGAGCGCCUCGGGGCCGCCGGCGUGAGAGGAGCCGUUAUCCCGGGCGCGAGGGUCGGUGCGGCACCGCUGGGACGUGCGGAGGGAGUCUCCCCAGCUGCGCUAUUUUUACGACGGAACAGUCAUCUCCAGAAUGAUUCAUACAACAACUACCCUAACUACCUGCAUGCUGGAGGAAUACAAGUAGAUAAGAACAUCUGUGAACAGGAAGAAUCCAUAUGAGAGACUGAACUUCAGAAGAAAAAAGCAGGAGGCUAUUGUGUACAGCUUCUCUUACAUUCCUACAUGAGAACUGCAGCUCAUUAUGAUGGGUAAGGCACCACUGCAGCUCUGAAAAACAGUUUGAAUGCCGCCUGUUCCUACUCCCUCCUGCAAGCAUCCUACAGCUCAAUCCAUAGUGGCUUUUGCUUUUGUUGACCAAAUGAGUAAAAGCCAGCAAUAAUGAAAGAGCCCAAAAGAGAGAAUACUGCUGUACCCAAUGAACAUACACUGAUUACCAGAGCUUGUAUCAUUCCUCUUAUCCUGCCCCAUCCUCCAUCUCCUUCCUCCUCCUCCCUCUCCUAGAGUCACUUCAUUUCAGCAACAACAUAAAUACUCAAAAGGAUGCUGGAAGGUAAAAGAAGAAAAGACAAUAAGGAGGCAUCAUUCUCAGUCCACAAGUGCUCCACAAAAUAAGGGCAAAGAAAAAAAAAAAGGCAUGACAGCUUUUAGAAGCUUUCCAGGACAUUUUUCAAAUGAAAAAAAAAAAA